GCUGGGCAUGGUGGCGGGUGCCUGUAAUCCCAGCUACUCAGGAGGCUGAGGCAGGAGAAUUGCUUGAACCUGGGAGGCAGGGGUUGCAGUGAGCCGAGAUCGCACCACUGCACUCCAGCCUGGGUGACAGAGCGAGACUCCGUCUCAA
ensembl:misc_RNA Metazoa_SRP Metazoan signal recognition particle RNA